AGGUGUAGGCGCUUUCCAA
rnacentral:snRNA from 1 species